GAUAGAAAAAAGCCAUGAUCAUUGUUCCAGAUAAGAUCUAAUAUAAAACUACGGCCCCUGUUUUUAUAUUAGAUCUUAUCUGGAACAAUGAUCAUGGCUUUUUUACC
rnacentral:sRNA from 1 species